GACGAACGCUGGCGGCGUGCUUAACACAUGCAAGUCGAACGAAGAGCGAUGGAAGCUUGCUUCUAUCAAUCUUAGUGGCGAACGGGUGAGUAACGCGUAAUCAACCUGCCCUUCAGAGGGGGACAACAGUUGGAAACGACUGCUAAUACCGCAUACGAUCUAAUCUCGGCAUCGAGGAUAGAUGAAAGGUGGCCUCUACAUGUAAGCUAUCACUGAAGGAGGGGAUUGCGUCUGAUUAGCUAGUUGGAGGGGUAACGGCCCACCAAGGCGAUGAUCAGUAGCCGGUCUGAGAGGAUGAACGGCCACAUUGGGACUGAGACACGGCCCAGACUCCUACGGGAGGCAGCAGUGGGGAAUCUUCCGCAAUGGACGAAAGUCUGACGGAGCAACGCCGCGUGAGUGAUGACGGCCUUCGGGUUGU
rnacentral:rRNA from 1 species